AUCUACUAUCCCGUGACGGCUAUGCAUAAGGCGGUUGGUGGUUUCGGUGGCCUCCGUGUUAACAGCCGUCUACUCAUCCCUGUUCCCUACGCUGAUCCGGCUGAUGACUAUACUCUCUUAGUGGGAGACUUUUUCAACAAGGGACACACCAGCCUCAAGAAGAUUCUUGAUAGCGGUCGCAACCUUGGGAGAUGUGACGGUGUCCACCUUAAUGGGAAAGUUGCGAAAGGUGAUGGGAAGGAUGAACCUCUGUUUACGAUGGAGGCAGGCAAAACGUACAAGUACAGGAUUUGCAAUACGGGUAUCAAGACAUCUCUGAACGUCAGGUUCCAAGGCCACACCAUGAAAUUGGUUGAGAUGGAGGGUUCCCACACAAUGCAGAAUGACUAUGACUCCCUUGAUGUGCACGUUGGACAGUGCUUCAGUGUGCUUGUUACUGCCAACCAGGAACCAAGGGAUUACUAUGUGGUGGCCUCUACCCGUUUUACCAAACGUGAGGUUACAGCAACUGGCAUCAUCCGUUACAAGAAUGGCAAGGGAGCUGCCUCAUCCGAGUUGCCACCACCACCUGUUGGUUGGGCUUGGUCACUCAAUCAAUUCCGUACCUUCCGUUGGAACUUGACUUCUAACGCUGCUAGGCCUAAUCCUCAGGGCUCCUACAAAUAUGGUUCUAUUAACAUUACCCGCACCAUCAAGCUUGCCAACACUGCACAAAGAGUAGAUGGCAAGCUCCGAUAUGCUCUUAAUGGAGUCUCCUAUGUCGAACCAACCACUCCACUAAAACUUGCAGAAUACUAUGGCGUAGCCGACAAGGUUUUCAAGUAUGAUACCAUUCCCGAUGAGCCUCCAAGUGACAACACUAAGGUAACUUUGGCACCUAUUGUCCUCAACAUGACACAUAGAAACUUUGUGGAAAUCAUCUUCGAGAAUCACGAGACCGCCAUUCAGUCCUACCACUUGUCUGGCUACUCAUUCUUUGCUGUGGGGUAAGUAUAGCUUCUAACAUAGCCAAUACAUGUGGUGAUUUGCUUGAGUUGAAGUAAUAAGUUGUAUAAUGAUUUGUCGCAGCAUGGACGUUGGGAAAUGGAGCCCCGAGAAGAGGAUGAACUACAAUCUUCUUGACGCCGUGAGCAGACACACCAUACAGGUAUUCCCCAACUCCUGGUCAGCAAUCCUAUUGACAUUCGACAACUGCGGGAUGUGGAACCUGAGGUCGGAGAUAUGGGACAGGCAUUACCUUGGGCAACAGCUUUAUGCUAGUGUUAUUUCCCCUAACCGAUCCCUCAAGGAUGAGUACAACUUACCGGAAGGUGUAUUGACUUGCGGCAUCGUGCAAGGCAUGCCAAGGCCUCCACCUUUCAGCAGUUAAUUUAAUUAAGCUUAUAAAUCUGUAUCCAAUUAUAGAAUAUGGGGAGAGAGAGGGUGAGAAAAGCUGAGUUCUGUAUAAUAUUUAAUGAAAUAAAAGCUUUUGGAUCACUUUAUUAUUACUAAUUUUCGUGUGUUGCCCUCGAAUAUACACGCAUUUAAGUUAUUUUCAAUAUAAAAAACUGAUAUUUUCAAAAUUGUACAAUAUUUAAAGAUGAAUGAUUUAAAAAAAUGGUUUAUACUACUAAUUAUUUUGAUAUUUUCAAAGUUGAAAUAAAUAAAUAAUUAAGUUAUAUUAACAAAGAAAUUUAAAAUAAAUAAUCUAUAUAUAUUUUGUUGAUAUAUUCAUCAAUAUAAAUAAAUCAUUCUGCUAUGGCGGUUCAACUUUGUGUUUUUUUUUAUUCAUUUAUUUUUGUAAAUUUCAAAUUUGUAUAUUAGAUAUGUACUACUACUAGAUAUGUCAAAUUGUAAAUAUUUAUUUGUCAAAAAGGCUCUUUAAAAAAUGAAAAAAAAAUUAAUUAAGUCAUCGUAUGCAAUUUGUACCUAAUUAAGUCCCUAUCAUUAAUUAAAAUAAUCAAUUAAGCCACAUAAAAUAAAUUGAUCAGAUAGAGAUAGUAAUAACUUCUAUAGUAAUCUAUUAUUUUUCCUAUAAAAAUAUUUAAAAAUUAGAAAAAUAUUAUAAAAAAAUAUAAAUACUAUUAAAUAUUAAAAAAAAUAAGAAAAUUGGUAUAAACUUAAAAAAUUAUAAAAUUAAUAAAACAUAUUUAAAAUAUUUAAAAUUUUAUAAAAACAUUAAAUUUAAAACUCUAUAAAAAUAAUAAAAAUUAUAAAAAAAUAUUAGAAGUAUUAAAUUUGAUAUAAACUUAUAAAAAAUGAUAAAAAAAUAAUAAAACUUGAUUUGGGUCGGAUUAGUCGGUUGGACCGGCUAGAUCAAAAUUGGCAAGAUAUCGAUCCAGAGAAAGCCAUUAGACCGAUUGAUAUUGGAACUGGAUGGUUGAACCGAUUCUUUAUCCUUUUAAUAUAUAUAUUUUAUUUCUUAAUGUUUUAUUUAAUUGAACUGGACGGAUCAGUCGAAAUGGUAAAUCAAUGGCUUAAUUUAAUUUUUUAGAAAAAUUAUUAGAUUAAACCAUAAGCUACAAUGUCUCAUCAACUAAUUGGCUUGUCAAUUUAUUUUAACCGUCAAUGUGAUCAAUCUCGAACACCGUUAAUUAUUUUAAUUAAUGCCAAGAACUUAAUUAGUUGCGAAUUUAAUAUAAAAAUAGGCUUUUUGACAUAUAAAUCUAUUGAAAAUAAGAUUAUUAUUAUUAUUUUUAUCUCCCAAUAAUUACAUGGAAUAUUUGAAAUUCAAGCACUCCCUAGAUGACUCAGCUUGGAGACUAGCAAAACCAAUAAUCAACAUAAAACUAGUCGGAUUUAAGGCACUCUUCGCACGAAGAUGGACAAAUUGUAGAUGAUUAAGAAAUUACCUUAAAUUUAUACCAUUUAAACAUGUCAUCUUAUUUCUCGAAUCAUCCUAAGACUUACAAAGUCUCCUAUAACUUAAGCAUAAGUCACAUAAUACUUAUAAUUUAGUCCCUAUUAAUCGAUUUCAAGCAUAUACCACUUCUGUAUCUUAGCCGCAUAACAUUUAUAUUUUAGUUUCUAUUUGUAAUGGCCCAAAUUUGCUGCCCAAAUAAACCAAAAAAAAAAACAUAAAUUAAACAAAAUUAUAACAGUCCCUUAAAUACUUUAGUCCAAUUACAAAAAACCAGUAGCCCCAUAGCCCAAAUAUAAGGGCCCACUAACUGGAACAGACCCAAACAGCCUUAAAUCGAUGCUCAGCUUUGGCAAACCCUAGGACAAAAGGGGUCCUCGAGUCGCAGCAACCUCAGCAGCCUCCAGGCACCGUACACUCCUCCUGGCGCCACGCACGCUCCCGUACAUACGCCAGCACCACCCCGUACGCCCCGCACCAAUUUGCCAGCGCAUGUCCUCUGCUCCGUACCUGCGAACAAGACAAACACAGCAACAAACAGAGACAAAAGAGAAAAUAUUAUUUUUCUUUUAUUUGUUUUUCUUUCGUUUCGGAUAUAAAGCCAGAAAAUGUUCAUUGUAAUGAAAAAAGGGGCGCAUUUACGCAACAAAAAUAUACAAACAGAUACUAUAAAGAGAGAUUUUUUUUACGAACACAAGCAAUACGAAUACUUACAAAAAAAAGCAGAGGUGAUUUCUUUUCUUCCUCGAAUCCUCUUAGUUUUCCAUAUAUCAUUGCGUUUUUGGUUUAGGGGUCAUUCACCAUUAUCGUUUUGAAAAUAAAGAGAUGAACAAAGGAACGGUGAAAGAGGAGCUUACCUUGCGAAGCUAGCCGUCGUCCCCCCUUUUACUUCGUCGAAAUCGAAGUCUGAAUGAGGGUUUCAAAGGCGAAAACCCCUCUUUUAGGGCUCGGAUGCGCAGACCGUCGCUCGUACUGACGAAUUAGUGCUAAAAGGAGCAUUUGGAGGUCGAUUGAGCAACGAGAGAGGGGAAGGGGCUAGGGUUCGGCUGAAUAACUCAGUCUUCAGCCCUUUUAAAGGGUUAAAAGCGAUGCCGUUUCAAGCCCAUUACAAUGGCUCAAAAACGACGUCGUCGGAUGGAGCCUCGAUCUGAUCCGUUUAGCUGCCCCGACGACCCGCGCGUUUUCGCGAAGAGGGUUUAUUUACAGCAUCGGUCCCUCCCUGUUGCACCAUGUUUCAUUUGGCUCUUAUUUAUUUUUUUAUUUUUAUUAAUUUAGCUAUGUAAUUUAUACACGUUUGCAAAUGGACCGGCGCUUGAAUACAGCCUUUUAGGAUCUGGUAUAUUGUCAGUUUUAGUCCCUAGCUGUUUCCGCGCAUGGACUAUUGGUCCCUCCACUGUUUUUGUUUAGUUUCAAUUUUACCUUGUGUGUUUUAGUUUAAUUUUAAUUAGGUCUUUUAUUUUAUAACUUUAUAAUUUCUUUUAUUUACUUACUAGUAUAUUUUCAAGCAGCUAUGACAGUCUUUUUAGUGUUAUAAAUUUGUUUUUUUUGUAAGAUUAUUAUCAUACUUCGUAUAUCUUGAAUGUUUAUUUCUUUAGUGUUAUUAGGCAUAUAUAUGUUUUACAAAAAAUCCUAAUGCUUCAUACAUCCAAUGUUUUAUUCUAAUUAUGUAUUUUAGCAUAUACUUUGUCACGAUAAUACAUUUUGUUUAUACACACAUGUUUUCCAUAAAAUUAUCUUUCCAUUUGCCUAUAUUAGUACAUAUAUUCGGCAUAUAUAUAUUUCAUUAAAUCUACACAUUAUCGUUCUUUAGGAAUUUACAUGUGUUCUCUUUGAAAUUUGUAUAUACAUAUACGCAUUAAUACCCUUUUUUUUAUUUUAAUAGAUUUUAUUUUAAAACACCUUUCGCUUUGUAAUUUACCAAACAUUUUCUAUAUAUAUAUGAAAUAAUGUUAAGAGCUUUUAAUUAUAAAAUUAUUAUUGUUAUCCAUGUUUUUAUUUCUUUAUAUUAUAUUGCUUUUGUGUUUUAUAUAGCCUAUUAUUUAAAUAUUUUGAUAUGAGGAUAGGUAUGUUUUUUUUAAAAACCAAUUUAAAAUUAUAUAUAUGUACUAAUUUUAAUCUCAUUCUUUUAUAAGUUUAUAUGUACAUUUUUUUUAUAUAAAUCUAUUUUGGGCCUCAUGUCUUUGUCAUAUUUUUUUUUUGUAUCAUAUAUUUUUUUGUCCUAUCAUAUAUUUUGUUAACUUUUAAAUAAAUUCAUGUUUAAAACAUGUUACAUGUAAUUUGAUUCAAAUUUUUAUUCUAUAAUAUUUGUUCCAAAAAAAUCAUAUAGCUAUCUAUAGCUUUCAUGCAAAUAUGUCGACUUAUGUAUGGGCCCAUUUAUUCGUUAUUAUUUAAAAAUCAUUUUAUAGUGCAUUGGUUGCUAAUUGCUAUAUUAUUUUUCAUAUCUUGUAUCGGUUAAUCUAUAUCAUAUGUUGUUUAUUAUUGUGGCAUACUAUCGUAUGUUUUGUUUCGCUUGAAUGGUUGUUAUAUUAUCAUCUUUGUCAUUGUAUUAUUAUCCUCCAUGCGCUAUUGUAAUCAGGUUGCGUUUUUUUAGGAUUAGCUAUACCUUUUUUAUUUUUAAUCGAUUGUAUCUCAUAUGCACGUUUACCCCAUCCACCGAUUUUAUUUGAUUUUCGAAAUGUGGUUUUAUAAAAUCUAAAUUUUAUGAUUAAUUUCGUCCUAUUUCAAAUCGAAUUAAUAGGUCUUAAGCUAGCUUUAUAAUCAUUCAUUCAAAAGUUCUUCAAAACGAAGACGAGAUUCGAUGUUUGGCAAUUCGCGGAAUCGUGCCCUAACGUGUUGGGUUGCAAUUUCGCGUUUGCUCAAAAUAAUCGAAUAUCACUUCGAAAUUUCACUCGCGUCUUUUAAAAUUCUUCAAAACGAAGACGAGAUUUGAUACUUAGCAAUUCGCGGAAUCGUGCCCUAACGUGUUGGGUUGCAAUUUUGCGUUUGUCCAAAGUAAUCGAGCAUCCCUUCAAAAUUUCAUUCAUGUCUUCUAAAAAUUAUUUAAAACGAAAGCUAUAUUCGGCGUUUGACAAUUCGAGAAUCAUGCCCUAUCGUGCUGGGCUGUGAUUUCUCGUUUGUUCAAAACGAUCGAAUAUUCUUUUGUAUUAUCACUCAUGUUUUUAAAAAAUAAAAAAUAAAAAAUAUAAAUACUUAAAAACGACGAUGAUAUUCAAUGUUUGGCGAUUUGAGAACCGUGCCCUAUCGUGCUGGGUUGCGCUUUUUCAUUGGUCCGAAACAAUUGAAAAUCCCUUCGGAAUUUCCCUCACAUUUUCUAAAAUCUUUCAAAAUGAAGGCGAUGUUCGAUGUUUGGCGAUUUGAGAAUCGAGCCCUAUCGUGUUGGGUUGCGCUUUUUCAUUUGCCCAAAAUAAUCGAAUAUCUCCUCGGAAUUUUCACACAUAUUUUAUAAAGUAAGGCAAUGAUCAAUAUUUGGAAAUUCGAGGAAUCGUACCCUACUGUGCUGGGUUUCGAUUUUUUGUUGGACUAAAUAAUUGAGCUUCCUUCGGUAAUUCUCAAAUUACAUACUUUCGGACAUCGAAACAAGAAAUUUUGACAACUAACUCGGAUUACUCAAACGUUAUAAAAGGAACCACAUUUCAAAAACUUUUAAUUUAGACACAAGGACAGUAUUUAAUCGAUUUGGUACCAAUUUUGGGCGUAGUGAGGGUGCUAACCCUUCCUCAUACGUAACCGACUCCCGAGCCCAUUUUCUCACACUUUCGUAGACCAUAAUCGGUGUUUUAGUAAACCGAAAAUGUUUUAUUAAAAUAACCAAAUUCUUAGGUGACCCGAUCACACCAAAAUAAAAGGAUCGGUGGCGACUCCAUAUUUCUAUUUCCCAAAUAGUCGAUUUCCUCAUUUUUUAAAAAAUUUUUAAAAUAUUUGAAUAAAAAGGGUGGUUUCGACACUAUUAAUAGAUUUUAGAUUCAACGGUGAAUACGCAGAUUAGUAUAUUAAAUUACCUAAUAACCCAACAAAGAAUUAGAGUUAGUGAUGUGUCCUAAUACUCAUUACACCGAAAUGCCAAAAUAGUUCUCAUUCUUAACAUCAUUAAACAUAAAUUUACAUAUCUUUAACCCCUUUCGUAAUAUUUUCAUGAUCAUAAUCCACAUCACAAAUAUAUACACAUAUGAAUAUCAUCACAACCAUUGCCAUCAAAGUCAAUUAAGCUAUCAUGCCUUUUAUGACAACAUUCAUUAAUAUUAAUUCAUUAAACUUAGCUGCUUAAUGAGUUAAUAACACAAGAUUACAAACCAAAUUCAUUUUUCAUCCUUGGAUUCUUGACGUCCUGGUCUUGUUUCUUAACUUUGUUCAAAUAAUUCAAUUAUUAGUACGAGCUAGUGGCCUAUUCAAAUACAUCAAACUAUUCAAUUAAACAUAUGUAAUUUUUCAACUUAGUCUUUUUAUACCCUAAUGUCCGAUUUUCGUAUAUCUCAAAAUUUUCCCGCUCGAAUCAAUUCGACUUUAUAACUAUACUCUAAGGCCUCAAACUAUCUAUAAAACACCAUUUUUGUUCAAAGUUCUCAACAAUCUCAUUCAAGCUCCCAAGAACUCAUCAAUGACUAUAUUAUCUAUGUUUAAUCAAGUCUUGUUUCUACACAUCCCACUUCAUUUCUAGCAUGUUUUCCACCAAAGUUCAAGCUUAACACUAGAUAUUCAUGGAUUCAAGCUUUCAUUCUCUAAGUUCUCUAAUGCUUAGGCUAUGUUCAUCAACUAUCAUAUAUAAACUAAGAUUUUAACAAAUUCAAGUGAAAAGUUCACCUUCCUUAGUAAUUUGAUGGACGACAAUGGAAGAGUAACCUAAAGAAUUUCUUUCUUUCUUUUGCUUCUCUCACCAAUUCAACACAUAUAUAUAUAUACAUAAUUAAUCUAAUUCCUCAUUAAUCUAAUGGCUAGAAUUGAGCUUAAACAAUGGUCAAUAGAAAUGAAUGGCAAGGAUCAACCAAGCCACUAACUAAGAAUAAAUCUUGGUUUAACAGCACUAGAGGUGUACAUGGGCCGGGCCGGGGUGGGUUUAGGUCGGGCUCAAUUAAAAAUUUAGACUCAUUUGAUAGGUUUGGGCCCGGCCCGGCCCAGAAAAUGGGCCUAAAAAUUUGCCUAAGCCCUACUUGAAUAAAAAUGUUAAAACCCGGGCCUGACCCAGCCUGUCCAUAGUAAUUUUUAUAUUAUUUUUUAUAUAAUUUAAAAAAUAUAUAAUACAUCAAAAAUACUAAAAACAUGAAAAUAAAUAUUUCCCAACAAAUUGAAAAUAAAUUUUAAAAAAAUAUGUAUACUUAAAUAACACUAAGAUAGAUGCAACUUAAUAAGCAAAUGCCUCUAAAAUAAUAACAAAAUUAACAAAUAUCUUUAAAAUAAUAGCAAAAUUAACAAUAAGAUAAGUUUUAUACAAUAUCCAAACAAUAACAACAAAAUAGUAGCAACAUAAUAGUAAAAUGGUAGCAAAAUAGGGAGAAAACAUUAAGAAAUAAUAAUUAAAAAAAAUAUUUUUUGUCCUUUAGUGAAUUCGGGUAGGGUCAGGCCAAAAAUGCCUUACCUGAGGCCCGACCCAUUUUUUAAACAGGCCUUAUUUUUUUAUCCAAGCCCAUUUUUCGAGCCUAUAUUUUUGCUCAAACCCUCUCACAUUUCAGACUGGUCUUCGAGCUUGGCUGAGUGGCCCGACCCAUGAACAAGUCUAAACAGUACUUAGGUUCUUGGCAUAAUUACCACUGGCAAAUUUGUUUAAUUCUUAAAUCAAUUCUCUUUAUUUUAUUCACCUUACAAUUUAGUCUUUGAUCAAUAAUUACUAUUCUUUCAAUCUAGUCCUUGUACUUAAUAAUUUAUCUAAUUUAAUCACUUAAUAAUUCUAAUUUCUAAUUUCAUGUUCAUCUUGUAAAUGUCUCGAUUUAAUAUUUUUGGACUAGUUCGGCUUCGAGAAUUUAGCCUCGAAAUCAAAUUUUUUGACCCUAAUGAAAAUCAGAAUGUUAUAUGCAAAAUGCUCGACAUCCUGCAAGGUCUCCAUAAUAGAUUUCUUCAUAUUUGUGUCAUUGUUGCUCAUGUCUGAUCCACCUCUAGUAUUCACUUCAACCGUAACAAUGGUCAUAUUUGUUGCCAUGAGUGAUGUGGAAAUUUUUUUUAAAAUGUCAUUAAGUAAUUUGAAAUAGACCAUGAAUAAUGUGGUGGAAAGAGUUAAUAAAAUAAUUUCUCCACAUUUUGGGUGAUCAAUAUUUAAUUUAUUAUAAAAUUUCUCGUAGAUGAUGUCACAAAUGAAUUUGUUAUGUAUGCGUAAACUCUUGAAAAAAAAAACUAAUUAUAUUUUUUUCAAAUUAUAUUUUUUUGUCAUAAUUUAAGCUUUCAUAUAAGGUUAGUUUCACAUUAAUACAAUUUCUAUUUUUAAAAAUUACAAUAGUUUAUCUAUAUCUAUAAUAAAAGAAUAAAUAAAAAGGUUAAAAAAAAAAGCACUAAAGUAUUUUUCAUAGAAGCAACUACUUUCCUAAAGAAAAGGUUAGCCAUCCAUAUAGUGAAUAUUCAAAUCCUUGUGAUAACAGAAAAGAAUGAUUCAACAUUGUAAAACUAAAAAUGGUUAGUGCUAAAAGGAAGGAAAUAAAUGAAUGGAUGAGCUUAUUAUAAGGGAUUAAGAUGGAAGAAUGGAAGAGGGGAUUGUGUGGUAUAAAAGGAGAGGUAUGCAUGCAAUUCAAAAUCAACUCAAGCUAAUCAUCUCCCUCUUCCUCUAGAGGGGAUAAACAGUAUAAUAAAUUAUAUUGGAGGCGUGGUCGGCAAAAAAAAGGGUUAAGAGAUGGCUCGAUUAACAUUAGUAUCGAUGCUAUUUCUUUGGGCAGGAUCAAUGCUUAUGGUCCAGGGCGGAGAUCCCACCCUUUUUUUCGAAUGGAACGUCACCUAUGGCACCAUUGCUCCCUUGGGAGUGCCAGUAAAGGGUAUUCUUAUUAACGGGCAAUUCCCGGGACCAAAUAUUAACUCUACCACCAACAACAAUAUUGUGGUCAAUGUGUUCAAUAACCUUGAUGAGCCAUUCCUUGUAACAUGGUAAGCGACUACCAAGAGUAUUUUCUUUUUUACAUUAAUAUGAUUAUGCUAGUGAAGAGUUGAGCUAAUUAUUUGUGGAAAUGGGAUUUGUUGCAGGAACGGCGUGCAGCAUAGGAAGAACUCUUGGCAAGAUGGUGUUCUGGGAACCAACUGUCCUAUCCCCCCUGGGAAGAAUUACACCUAUAAAUUCCAGGUGAAGGAUCAGAUUGGCAGCUACAUCUACUAUCCGGUGACGGCUAUGCAUAAGGCGGUUGGUGGUUUCGGUGGCCUCCGUGUUAAUAGCCGUCUACUCAUCCCUGUUCCCUACGCUGAUCCGGCUGAUGACUAUACUCUCUUAGUGGGAGACUUUUUCAACAAGGGACACACCAGCCUCAAGAAGAUUCUUGAUAGUGGUCGCAACCUUGGGAGAUGUGACGGUGUUCACCUUAAUGGGAAAGUUGCAAAAGGUGAUAGGAAGGAUGAACCUCUGUUUACGAUGGAGGCAGGCAAAACGUACAAGUACAGGAUUUGCAAUACGGGUAUCAAGACAUCUCUGAACGUCAGGUUCCAAGGCCACACCAUGAAAUUGGUUGAGAUGGAGGGUUCCCACACAAUGCAGAAUGACUAUGACUCCCUUGAUGUGCAUGUUGGACAGUGCUUCAGUGUGCUUGUUACUGCCAACCAGGAACCAAGGGAUUACUAUGUGGUGGCCUCUACCCGUUUUACCAGACGUGAGGUUACAGCAACUGGCAUCAUCCGUUACAAGAAUGGUAAGGGAGCUGCCUCAUCCGAGUUGCCACCACCACCUGUUGGUUGGGCUUGGUCACUCAAUCAAUUCCGUACCUUCCGUUGGAACUUGACUUCUAACGCUGCUAGGCCUAACCCUCAGGGCUCCUACAAAUAUGGUUCCAUUAACAUUACCCGCACCAUCAAGCUUGCCAACACUGCACAAAAAGUAGAUGGCAAGCUCCGAUAUGCUCUUAAUGGAGUCUCCUAUGUCGAACCAACCACUCCACUAAAACUUGCAGAAUACUACGGCGUAGCCGACAAGGUUUUCAAGUAUGAUACCAUUCCCGAUGAGCCACAAAGUGACAACACUAAGGUAACUUUGGCACCUAUUGUGCUGAACAUGACACACAGAAACUUUGUGGAAAUAAUCUUCGAGAAUCACGAGAGCGCCAUUCAGUCUUACCACUUGUCUGGCUACUCAUUCUUUGCUGUGGGGUAAGUAUAGCUUCUAACAUAACAAAUACAUGUGGUGAUUUGCUUGAGUUGGAAGUAAUAAGUUGUAUAAUGAUUUGUUGCAGCAUGGACGUUGGGAAAUGGAGCCCCGAGAAGAGGAUGAACUACAAUCUUCUUGACGCCGUGAGCAGACACACCAUACAGGUAUUCCCCAACUCCUGGUCAGCAAUCCUAUUGACAUUCGACAACUGCGGGAUGUGGAACCUGAGGUCGGAGAUAUGGGACAGGCAUUACCUUGGGCAACAGCUUUAUGCUAGUGUUAUUUCCCCUAACCGAUCCCUCAAGGAUGAGUACAACUUGCCGGAAGGUGUAUUGACUUGCGGCAUCGUGCAAGGCAUGCCAAGGCCUCCACCUUUCAGCAGUUAAUUUAAUUAAGCUUAUAAAUCUGUAUCCAAUUAUGGUAUAUGAGGAGAGAGAGGGUGAGAAAAGCUUGAGUUCCAAAUGUAUUUAAUGAAAUAAAAUGUUUUGGACCAUAUGUUUAUACUCAAAUCAUGCGCAAGCUUUCAACAAUUUCAUUGCUGCCAUGUUUUAAUUCUAGUUACUUUGUUCAUUAUUAAAAUCAUAUAAUACCUUAAUAAGAAAAACCAUCACAAAAUAGUAUGCAUCACGAAAAUAAUUAAUGAAUAGACCAACAUUCUGUUAUCUUCUUCCCUUUUCUAUUUUCUGCUUUCUGUUUCGGUUCAUAACAGAACCAGGAGACUAAACAUCCCUCAGUCCACUCCUGCAAGGUAAGAUUCUCCCAAGAAAUUUACUACUGCCAAAGAAAGAGCAAACAAUUUUGUCAACUGUCUGCACCAACAGAUAUUUGCUUGUUGGUAUUUUGGAUGAGAGAUGAGUGAAGUUAGCAGUUUCUUGAGCUAGAAGGCUCGAUACUUGCUAAACAAACAAAACAGAAUUGAGCUUGAAGAACAAGAAUAAAUGCAAAGAAAGAGAGAACUGAAUGAAUAAUUCUGAUGAUUUUUCAUUAACCUUGAAAGAUGGCAUAAUGCCAAUACAUAUACCAGGCAUAAGCUAGUCAAAGGUAAGCAAAUUUUCACCUAAACAUUACCUACUACCACUUAGUAACUUUGAAACUUAUAAAACAUAACUUGUACACUUUGUAAAGCUGAUUUAUCAGCUCAAAUGUCAACAAAAUUACAUUCAGUACAUUAACAACUUAGUUCUAAUUUAACUAAGUUACAAAACAUCAAUUGAGGUAACAAAACAAAAUGGAAUUGAACAGCAGCAUCAACUUCAACUGCAACUGCAUGGCUCGGGCUGCUUCUCUGCAACUUGGCUGCAUGCAGGCCAACUUCAACAGCUCUGUACAAAGAAGCACUUCAUUGAGUAGAAUGACUUGCUACAAUUUGUUGCUUUUGUAAAACCAUAUGCCGAGGAAGGCGUUUAUGGGUUUUAUGUCAAUAUUCUCGAGUCUGUCAAUAAGUCUUGGAGCAAGCUCUUCCACAAAGAUUAUGUUCGAGGAAGAUAGUAUAAUUUUGGCCCUACACAAAUUAGGGAGCUAUUGCUUCACUCAUGCUUGAUAGAUGUCAAGCUAGAUGAAUUUUAUGAUACAAUGGUCAAAACCAUCACCAAUGGAGUUCAUCUUACCUUGCCCCUAAGCAACUGAGCCACAAGCUUCUACUCUAGAGCCCACUUAUGCUGGCCUGUUUGCUAUUGCAACCAGAAACUGGAUUCCUAAUAGCCAAACGAAUACAGUUACAAAGAAGAUGGUUACUCUGCUUAGGAAGAUUUGUGAUGUGAUUCAAUUUUCACUUGGGAGAGCUUAUUUUUCAGGAAAUCAUCAAACAUACUAAUUUUGUUUACCCCAUGUUAUAUCUUUCUUUCCUUUCACUUAUUUUUCAGAUACUUUAUAAUCAAAAUCCUGAAAUUGUAUUGGCUACUGAAAAAUAUGAAAGGAAGCCUAUAGAGUUGAAGUAUUCAUACAAGUGGCUUGAAGGGAAACACCAGGUUGCACUCCCUGAAGCUGUUCCUGAUGUUGUGGCUCAGCCUGUUGGAGUUGGCACAAAGGAAGACAUUUCAUCUCAGCUCUCAGCCUUUGAACAAAAGAUCCUCCAACAUCUUGAUGCUGAGAUUGCCUCCCAAGAAAAGGUCAUUUAACAACUUCAAGCCAAUGUUCGAAGAGUCAAAGCAUUGUGGAAUGAUCUCCUGGCCAAGCUGCUUCAGUUGGGUUUGGAAAAUCUCUUGAACUAAAAGGGGGAGUGGUAUAAAGGACUUGGCACUACAGGUGACACUACUGCAAUUAGUAUCAUGUUUUUUCUUUUCUUAGUAUGAUGAUUUUUCUGUGCCACAAUCACCAUAAACUUAGGGCAUGAGGGGAUGAAAUAAUUUACCACCAUAAUAUUGGGGUUCCAAUUCUCAUCAAAGAAUUUGCAACCCUCAGUUUCAGAAGCUAUUUGCCAAAUGAAAUUUGUUUUAUUUUAAUGUUUUUGGGUUAUAAUUUUGAAGACUCUUAACUUGAAUUAUGUUUAUUUUAAUUGAUAUUUUGUGAACCUUUAUCCUAUCUAUGAUAUAAAUUCCAGUACUUUGGUUAUAAAGGCUAUUCUCACUACUUAUGCAUUAAUGAUUAUUUUGUUAGUAUUAAUUGAAGUAUGAUGGAUUAAGGGUGACCUAAAAUGAAAAAUUUUCAUUUAGGUCCUUUUUUAAAUUAAUAAAAGUAAAAUUACAUGUUGACCCCCUUAAAGAUGAUGAAAAUUUGAUUUAAUCCUAUAAAAAAUAUAAAGAUAUUAAUUAUUAAAAUUAUAAAAUUACACUUUUAAUAUCGUAAAAAAUUACAAUUUAAUUUUAACCCCUAAAUCCUUGAUUAUUUAGGGAGAGCAUUUGUUAUAGUGAAAUUACUAAUACCAAACAAAUUUUCUAUUUAAUGUUGAUUUUUGUAUGAUUAAUAUUUAACCAUCAUAAUUUCAAUUCUGAUUAAAAUUUAAAUAUUUAACUAUAUUUUUUUAAUGUAAAAACUUUGAACCAUUAUAUAUAUAUUGGAUUGAAAUAGUAGAGAUUUUCGAUUAAUUCGAAAAUUUACUUGUAUGACAAAUAAAAUAAUAGAUUCAACAAUUAAAAACAUUAAUUAACUUUUAUUUGUUAAUAAUUCGUUAAUUUAUGUAAGUUUUUACAUAUUUAUCUAUUUGGAUUGUGAUUGUAUUAUUUUUUCCAUUAUAUCGUAUUAUUGAUAUUAUUUACGAAAAAACUAUAUUUUAAAAAAAUAAAAUAAAUUUCACACACACUGUAAAUAGAAAAAAAUGAAAGAAUUUAUUAUUGAAUGAAGUAAUAUAUUCUGAUAUUACAUCAAGAAAAUUAAUUUAUUGGAAAAGUCAGCAUUAGUCACUACAAAGGCCGUUUUAUGUGUAUUUGAAGCAGAACUGGUUCCAGGUUUAUAUAAGCUUUAAAUUAGGUGUAAGCUGGUGGUGGCCUUGGCAUGUUUUCCACAACACCGCAAACUAGUGCACCCUCAGGCAUGUUGUAUUCGUCCCUGAGUGAUUUGUUAGGGGAAAGAACACUAACAUAAAGCUGUUGCCCAAGGUAACGCCUGUCCCAUAUCUCUGACCUGAUGUUCCACAUUCCACAGUUGUCGAAUGACAAUAGGAUAGCUGCCCAGGACUUGGGGAAAACCUGUAUGGUGUGUCUGCUCACGGCAUCAAGAAGAUUGUAGUUCUUCCUCUUCUCAGGGCUCCAUUGCCCAGUCUCGACACUGCAACAAAUGAUUAUAGAAUUUAGUUAAACGGAAAGUAAUGACUAUAUACUAGAAGAAUUUAAAGACCAAAUACUUACGCCACAGCAAAGAAGGCAUAGCCACACAAGUGAUAAGACUGGAUGGCUGUUUCGCGAUUCUCGAAGACGAUUUCCAUAAAGUUUCUGUGUGUCAGGUUGAGGACAACAGGUUCCAUGGUUAUUUUAGUGAUCUCAGCUGGUGGGUCAUCAGGAAUGGUAUCGUACUUGAAAACCUUGUCAGCUACGCCGUAGUAUUCUGCAAGUUUUAGUGGAGUGGUUGGUUCGACAUAGGAGGCUCCAUUAAUAGCAUAUCGAAGCUUGCCAUCUACUUUUUGAGCAGUGUUGGCCAGCUUGAUGGUACGGGUAAUGUUAACGGAACCAUAUUUGUAGGAGCCCUGAGGGUUAGGCCUAGCAGCGCUGGCAGUCAAGUUCCAACGGAAGGUACGGAAUUGAUUGAGUGACCAAGCCCAACCAACUGGUGGUGGUGGCAACUUAGGUGAGGGUGCGCCCUUGCCAUUGGUGUAACGGAUGACACCAGUUGCUGUAACCUCUUGUUUGGUAAAACGGGUAGAGGCCACAACAAAGUAAUCCUUUGGUUCUUGGUCGGCUGUAACAAGCACACUGAAGCACUGUCCAACAUGAACAUCAAGGGAUUCAUAGUCAUUUUGCACUGUGUGGGAACCCUCCAUCUCAACCAAUUUCAUGUUGUGGCCUUGGAACCUGACGUUCAGAGAUGUCUUGAGACCCGCAUUGCAAAUCCUAUACUUGUAGGUUUUGCCUGCUUCCAUGGUGAAGAGAGGUUCAUCGCUACCAUCACCUUUAGCAACUUUUCCAUUAAUGUGGACACCAUCACAUCUACCAAGGUUACGGCCGCUCUCAAGAAUUUUCUUGAGGGUGGUGUGUCCCUUGUUGAAAAAAUCUCCUGCUAUGAUAGUAUAGUCAUCAGCUGGAUCAGCAUAGGGGACAGGAAUGAGUAAACGACUGUUAAUACGAAGGCCACCGAAACCGCCAACCGCCUUAUGCAUACCCGUCACUGGAUAAUACAUGUAGCUGCCAAUUUGGUCCUUCACCUGGAAUUUAUAGGUGUAAUUCGUCCCGGGGGGGAUAGGACAGUUGGUUCCAAGCACACCAUCUUGCCAAGGAUUCUUCCUAUGCUGUACGCCACUCCUGCAACAGAUUUCAUUUCCAUAUAUAUAUAUAUAUGUAAUUAAGCUCAACUCUUUACUAAUAUAAUCAAAUGGGAAAAAAAGUAAUCUGGUUUACCAUGUCAAAAGGAAUGGCUCAUCAAGGUUGUUGAACACAUUGACUAUAACAUUGUUGUUGGUGGUAGAGUUAAUAUUUGGCCCAGGGAAUUGCCCGUUAAUAAGAAUACCUUUAACGGGAACACCUAAAGGAGAUAUAGUGCCAUAAGUGACCUUCCACUCGAAACUAAUGGUGGGAUCUCCACCUUGAACCAUAAGCAGUGAUCCUACCCAGAGGAAAAACACCGCUAUUAUCGUCAAUGGAGCCAUUUUAUUGGCUUCAAAUUCUCUUAUAUAAUUUUAUAAAUUAAGACUGUUUAUCCCCUCUUAGAGGAAGAAGAUUUGUUUGAGAUGAUUUGAGUUGCAUGUUGGCUUACCCUUUUAUACAACACAACUCCUUCUAAUACAAUCAUUCUUCAUCAUUCAAUUUUUCUCUUGAAAUCCUUAAAUUGAGCACAUCCAUUUGUUUCUUUACUUUAUUUUAGUACAUACUAUUUUUAACAUUAAGCGAUUUGAUUUUACCAUAAUUCUCUUUUGUUCUAAUAUAAUAUUUGCACAUUCAUUGUGUGGAUGGCUAAUAUUUCAUGACUAAUACAUCUUUAUCAAAUAAGUUUCAAAAUACUUAAUCCUUACCAUAACCAUUUAUUUAAUUACAUGGACGAUAUAAACGUGAACAAAACACAAAUAAAAAUUUAACAUGAAACCAAACCAGCAUUAGAAAAAAAUCAUAUAUAAGCAGUAUUCUAAAUUUAUAAAUAUAUAUUAUUUUUAUAUAUUCACAUGAUAGCUCAAUUUUUUUUCUAUAUUUUUAAAAUUAAAAUUUUAGUUUUAUAUAGAUUUUUAUAUACAUUAAUUUAUAAAUGUACAUAUCACUAUUAUUUUUAUAUAUUCACAUCAUGCUCAAAUUCUUUUUCCUAUAUUUUUAAAUGUGAAAUUUUGGUUUUCUAUUCUUUUAUAUGUUGGGCACACGAGAAACUUGGGUUUGUGCUCAGUGUUUUGGGUUGAAGCUUGGAUAAAAGGGCUUAAAAUAUUGCAUAGAAUAAGGGGUUUCACAGAGUGGGAGUUGAAAACAACAAUGCUGAGCUUUUUUCUUUACUUGAUGACCAAAAUGGAGAGCCAAGUUGUGAAGCCCAUGUAAGACACAUCCAAAUUCUUUGCAAUCACAAAUUGAAACUUACAUAAAUAUAGAGGCAGAUUGUUAGGGAAAAAUGAGCUUUCUUUUUCUCUGCCAAAGUAAAUUUUAUUUCGUAUAAAUACCAAUGAUCAGGCCUUUCAGAGGCACAUUGGUUGAGAUAUCCUUUUAUAUGCUAUAAGUCUCGAUUGCUCAUUUUCCUUUUCUGUCUCAUACCUCCUCUCUCUAUCGUUGUGCCCAUCAACACACUUUGUUUCCCUACUACGAUUGCACAGCUCAUUACUACCUUCUGAACGUUCCACAACCAUAUUUGACACAGUUACCCCUAUUUUCAUUUUAUUGGACUAAUGAGCAAAAUUUAACACCCUUUAUGUUACUUGAAAUUUCAUCGUCACUUUUAUCCGAAUGCCUACUAGCCCUCCUGCACCAAUGAUCAUCACAACCUAACAGAGGUCAAACUUCACUAGAGGUAAAGCCACCAUCAUAGCCAAGGACAUUGGACUCACAUUAUCUAGAUUUGCAAUUAAUUCGUUGACGUCCUCUUCACUUGAUGAACGAAUCACUUCAACUUCUAACACUUUCAGAUCAAUAUUUCAAGCCAACCACUUUUAUUUGGAUUUGCAGAACAACACUUACCUUACUCUGUAGUCUCUGAUACUUUCACCACUUCCUCAUUCUCACCUUGGACAAUCUUCAUGUCUCUGAUCCAUCUAUUUAACUAAGUUCUUUGUGCUGGUUUCUUUGAGGACACUCUUCUAAGAGUAAUUGAUGUGCUAAGUGAAGAUAUUAGGAAUUUUUAGCUCCUACACUCUAAUAUUUUUUGCAUUAUGUCUAGUUGAGCCUUCCUUUGUAUGAAAAAAAAAACCUAGUUUAAUCUAAUAGUUGAAUCUCAAACUUAAAGAGUUGUUAUUCACUUUUCAAGCAACCACUAACAUAUUAUGGAAAUUAGAGUGACAGAAACAAGGUAGCUGAUUCAUUGUCCAAACUACAAGUUUCAGAAGAUUUUGGAAUAAAGUGCUCACUCGACCCCUCAGAGAAAUCGAUACGUUAUUGUUAUUAGACAAAUUGGGGUCAUACCAUCCCAAUGGUAUUUUGAUGUAGAACAGUAAUGCCUAUUUGAAUUUCCCUUGUAUUUGAACUCUAUAAUUUUCUUUUAUAUAAUUUAGUCAUUGAUUUAUUUGGAUAGGUAUUAAAGUAAAUUUCGAUGAUUGGAAUUAUAAUUAGUAAAAGUUCUUUGUGGGAUCGAUAUUUUAUACCAUUUGUAAUGAUACAUAUACUUGUGUGUGUGAUAUUCGAUCAAGUUCAAAGCACCUUUUGUUUAGAGUAAUGGUGUUUCACGAAUAACUAUAUUUAGAACAAUUUCUAUUUAGUAGAAUUGUGUUUAUUCACAAUAAGUUCUACCAAACAGAACAUUACCAUAGAACAACUUUUGUUUGGAACAAAUAAGAAUAACCAUUAUUUAUGAACAACUCUCGUUCGAGAACAUCCAUUGUCUUGCAUUCGAAGAGAUGUUCCGAGGUAAAUGUUUCACAAGAUGCGGCUUCACCAAAGUAGAAGAAGUGGAAAUAACCUCGAAAUAUGACAGAGUUCUUAGAUUGUCUUCACUCUUAGGAUUUUUCGGAGAACUUGGCUUGGUAAAUUAAAUACGGAGGUAGGUAGGAGGUUUCCUCUUAACAUUCUCCUAUAACAUUGAGUGUUUUUCCUUUCUUUCAAAAAUAUGGUGAACACUUCUUCAAUAUUCAUCAUUAUCAUCACCAAAAAAGUCAUUAACCAUCCCGUCUUAACAAUUAUUGCCAUUCUAAUUGAAAACUAAUUUCAUUACUCAUAUUAAAUACCUAGUAUAAAUAUGAGCCCAUCACAUCUAUUUGAGUGACUUUUUGGCACUUUGGUAUUCUAAUUCUCAAAGCUCUCUAAAAUUCUUUCUACUUUUUUUUGUUGUUUAGCCUCAUCAUCAACCACAAUUCCCUUUCUCUUGCUUAUCAAACAUCACCUGUCGCUGUAACUAAUGUUAUAAGAUCUGCUCUAGUAUUCAUCUCUGCCUUUUUUCGAUACAUUAUGUUCACUUAUUUGCAAAGCUUGCUCUGAACCCUUUACAAUGUUUUAAUUUUAUAUAUAUUUAAUAUAAAUUCUCUCAUAGGAUGUCACAAAUGGAUAUAAUGUUAUAAUCUCUCCAAAAGAAUAAAGUUAAUUAUAAAUUUCUUUUCACAUUAUUUAUUCAAUAUGAACUUUUUAUGGUGGUCUUAAUUUAAUUAUAUAUAAAAUUUCACUUAAUAUCAAGUGUCUAGCAAUAAUGAUUAUAUAAUAAUGGAGGUUAAUGUUACUUUAAUACAUUUAUUUUAAAAAUUAUCAUAUUUAUAUAUUUAAAUUAAGAAAAUAACUAUAAAAACUCUCAUCAAAGUAACCAUUACCCUAAAAAAAUGUUAGCCAUCAGCAUAGUGGAUGUGAAAAUCCUUGAUGGAAAAGAAGAGAAUGAUAAAAUCAAAUUGAUUAGUGUUAAAAACAGUAUUUGCUAAAAGCCAGGAAAUAAAUGAAUGGAUGAGCGUAUUCUAAGGGAUUAAGAUGGAAGCAUUGAUGAGGGGAUUGUGUGGUAUAAAAGGAGAGGUAUGCAUGCAAUUCAAAAUCAACUCAAGCAAAUCAUCUUCCUCUUCCUCUAGAAGGGGAUAAUUAAUAAAUUACGGUUGGCGAAAAAAAGGGUAGGAGAUGGCUCGAUUGCUGUUAAUAUCGAUGCUAUUUCUCUGGGCAGGAUCAAUCCUUAUGGUUCAGGGUGGAGAUCCUACCCUUUUUUUCGAAUGGAACGUCACCUAUGGCACCAUUGCUCCUUUGGGAGUGCCAGUAAAGGGUAUUCUUAUUAACGGACAAUUCCCAGGACCAAAUAUUAACUCUACCACCAACAACAAUAUUGUGAUCCAUGUGUUCAAUAACCUUGAUGAGCCAUUCCUUGUAACAUGGUAAGCGACUACCAAGAGUAUUUUCUUUUUUACAUUAAUAUGAUUAUGUGCUAGUGAAGAAUUUAGCUAAUUAUCUGUGGAAAUGGGAUUUGUUGCAGGAACGGCAUUCAGCAUAGGAAGAACUCUUGGCAAGAUGGUGUUCUGGGAACCAACUGUCCUAUCCCCCCUGGGAAGAAUUACACAUAUAAAUUCCAGGUGAAGGAUCAGAUUGGCAGCUACAUCUACUAUCCGGUGACGGCUAUGCAUAAGGCGGUUGGUGGUUUCGGUGGCCUCCGUGUUAACAGCCGUCUACUCAUCCCUGUUCCCUACGCUGAUCCGGCUGAUGACUAUACUCUCUUAGUGGGAGACUUUUUCAACAAGGGACACACCAGCCUCAAGAAGAUUCUUGAUAGUGGUCGCAACCUUGGGAGAUGCGACGGUGUCCACCUUAAUGGAAAAGUUGCGAAAGGUGAUGGGCAGGAUGAACCUCUGUUUACGAUGGAGGCAGGCAAAACGUACAAGUACAGGAUUUGCAAUACGGGUAUCAAGACAUCUCUGAACGUCAGGUUCCA
rnacentral:lncRNA from 1 species